ACCAGAGCCAUAUCUCCCUACAGUUCUGGACUGGUUUCCUACUGAGGCUAAGCAGGGUUGAGCCUGACCAGUACCUGGAUGCAAGACCUCAUGGGGAAAACUAAGGUUGCUGCUGGAA
rnacentral:rRNA from 1 species